AAUGAACGUUGGCGGCGUGGAUUAGGCAUGCAAGUCGAGCGAGAACCGUAGCAAUACGGGGACAGCGGCGAAAGGGAGAGGAAUACGUGGAUACCUACCCUCAGGUUCAGGAUAGCUGUGGGAAACUACAGGUAAUACUGAAUAAUAUCUCCGGAUCAAAGGUGUGAUUCCGCCGGAGGAGGGGUCCACGUCCUAUUAGCUAGUUGGUGAGGUAACGGCUCACCAAGGCGAAGAUGGGUAGCGGGUGUGAGAGCACGACCCGCAUCACUGGGACUGAGACACUGCCCAGACACCUACGGGUGGCUGCAGUCGAGGAUCUUCGGCAAUGGGCGAAAGCCUGACCGAGCGACGCCGCGUGCGGGAUGAAGGCCUUCGGGUUGUAAACCGCUGUCAGUGGGGAGGAAAUACUGGUGGGAACACCCUCCAGUUUGACCUAUCCGCAGAGGAAGGACGGGCUAAGUUCGUGCCAGCCGCCGCUGUAACAC
rnacentral:rRNA from 1 species